GCCUCGUUAGCACAGUAGGUAGCGCCUCAGUCUCAUAAUCUGAAGGUCGUGAGUUCGAUCCUCACACGGGGCA
rfam:Salmo salar isolate Sally breed double haploid chromosome ssa16, whole genome shotgun sequence.